rnacentral:tRNA from 1 species
AGGGUUGUAGUUUACGAGAACGGUUAAUUUGCACUUAGACAGGACUAACGUCUACCCUU